UUGCUUCAGCAGCACAUAUACUAAAAUUGUAACAAUACAGGGAGAAUUAGCAUGGCCUUUGUGCAAGGAUAACAUGCAAAUUCACGAAAUGCUCCAUAGUUUG